rnacentral:rRNA from 1 species
UACAGAGGUCUCGAGCGUUAGGCGGAAUCACUGGGCUUAAAGCGUGUGUAGGCGGGUCGUUAAGUGCCUUGUGAAAUCUCCCGGCUCAACUGGGAGGGUGCGCUAGAAACUGGAAGGCUUGGAGUGUGGGAGAGGUAGGUGGAAUUCCUGGUGUAGCGGUGAAAUGCGUAGAUAUCGGAAGGAACAUCAGUGGCGAAAGCGACUUCCUGGACCAAUACUGACGCUCAUGUGCGAAAGCGUGGGGAGCAAACAGG